AGGACGAACGCUAGCGGCGUGCCUAAGGUAUGCAAGUCGAACGGACCCGCAAGGGUUAGUGGCGAACGGUUGAGUAACACGUAGACAACCUGCCUCGAAGUGGGGGACAACAGCGGGAAACUGCUGCUAAUACCGCAUGUGACCUUUCAACGCCUGUUGAGAUGGUUAAAGGCGUAAGUCGCUUCGAGAUGGGUCUGCGGCCUAUCGUAGUUUGUUGGUGGGUAACGCCUACCAAGACGACGA
rnacentral:rRNA from 1 species